UGUUCCUACGGGGCGCAGCAGUGGGGAAUAUUGGACAAUGGGGGGAACCCUGAUCCAGCGACGCCGCGUGAGUGAAGAAGUAUUUCGGUAUGUAAAGCUCUAUCAGCAGGGAAGAAAGAAAUGACGGUACCUGACUAAGAAGCCCCGGCUAACUACGUGCCAGCAGCCGCGGUAAUACGUAGGGGGCAAGCGUUAUCCGGAUUUACUGGGUGUAAAGGGAGCGUAGAUGGUUACGCAAGUCUGGAGUGAAAGGCGGGGGCCCAACCCCCGGACUGCUUUGGAAACUGUAUAACUGGAGUGCAGGG
rnacentral:rRNA from 1 species